rnacentral:rRNA from 1 species
CGGACGGGUGAGUAACACGUGGAUAACCUACCUAUAAGACUGGGAUAACUUCGGGAAACCGGAGCUAAUACCGGAUAAUAUUUUGAACCGCAUGGUUCAAAAGUGAAAGACGGUCUUGCUGUCACUUAUAGAUGGAUCCGCGCUGCAUUAGCUAGUUGGUAAGGUAACGGCUUACCAAGGCAACGAUGCAUAGCCGACCUGAGAGGGUGAUCGGCCACACUGGAACUGAGACACGGUCCAGACUCCUACGGGAGCAGCAGGG